rnacentral:rRNA from 1 species
AGUGAACGCUGGCGGUAGGCCUAACACAUGCAAGUCGAACGGCAGCACAGUAAGAGCUUGCUCUUACGGGUGGCGAGUGGCGGACGGGUGAGGAGUACAUCGGAAUCUACUUUUUCGUGGGGGAUAACGUAGGGAAACUUACGCUAAUACCGCAUACGACCUACGGGUGAAAGCAGGGGAUCUUCGGACCUUGCGCGAUUGAAUGAGCCGAUGUCGGAUUAGCUAGUUGGCGGGGUAAAGGCCCACCAAGGCGACGAUCCGUAGCUGGUCUGAGAGGAUGAUCAGCCACACUGGAACUGGGACACGGUCCAGACUCCUACGGGAGGCAGCAGUGGGGAAUAUUGGACAAUGGGCGCAAGCCUGAUCCAGCCAUACCGCGUGAGUGAAGAAGGCCUUCGGGUUGUAAAGCCCUUUUGUUGGGAAAGAAAAGCAGCAGGUUAAUACCCCGCUGUUCUGACGGUACCCAAAGAAUAAGCACCGGCUAACUUCGUG